ensembl:lncRNA
UGUGGCUUGGCUCUGGUGUGGCUGUGGCUGUGGCCUAGGCCAGCAGCUGCAGUUCUGAUUCAGCCCCUAGUCUGGGAACUUCCUUAUGCUGCAGGGGCGGCCCUAAAAAGAAACACAGAACGUGUUCACGGGGCCCUCUUCCCAUCUUCUCCAGGGACAUUGGAGCCAGGAAGGCUCCAAUCAGCACAUGCAAAUCCUGAAUGGAUCAGGAGAUAGACCUUGGGACCUGGCCCUGGGCUUGGGGCCAGAUGGGGCCCUCAGCCAGGUGCUGAAAUAAAGAGCAGGACCCAGGGGUGAGGAAGUUUGUGCAGGCGGAGCCCAGUAGGACAGGACCCCUCAUGGAUGCCCGUGCCCAGGGCCUCUGAGGCCAGGGGAGAGCUGCUUCUCCUGGGGCAGCCGGGGCAGACACUGAUGGUGUCUACACAGCAAACAUUGCUCAGUUUUCCCUUCCUAACAGAAACCGAGUUUUGUGUGAGUGGUUGUGGUCCAGCCCUGGGGCUGGAGGCUGCAUGGAGUGAGGAAGAUUAAGUUUGGGUUAACGCAGUGCAGCAUUCUCUUGUCGGUGAAUGCAGUUCUUCAUUGACUGGCCUGCCUUUAUUUCACUUCCAAUUUUCUUCCUCUUNCCGCCCCCCCAUUCCAGGACUCACCGAAGCACAGGAGGGUGGUGGGAUGGGGGGCCAUGGCCCAGCCCCUGCAGCCGGUGCCCGUCCUGGAGAGAUUAUGGGGGAAGGACAGAGCCUGCCUGAUGACACAAGAGAAGAGGAUGUGCUGCCCGGGGGCCCAACUUGGGGUUUCCACACUCAGCGCCUCACACAAAGGGGAAGAGCUUGUGCCCUCCUCUCCCGGCUUCCCGCGCAGGAGACAGAGGCAGGGCCGCACUUCCAGCAGAUGCUCCAAUGCUCAGGCUCCACGUGGCCCGUGUGUUUCCUCCUUUCUGUGACUACAGGGGGCAGGGCCCAAACCUCGUCAACCCCUGGUGUCCAGCCUGUGCGUCCGAGCUGAAAUCGCCAGUGGUGGCUUUGGCUGCCAUCCUGACCGUGGCAAAGCCCUGAAAGGCACUUCUCCAUCGUUUUCUGCAAACUUCCCCAGCAGUUGUAAUGAGCAUUGCAGACGUGGGAGUUCCAGCUCUGGUGGAAGGGGAUCCGAAGCGUCUCUGCAGCUCCAGGACGCAGGUUCGAUUCCCCAGCCCAGCACAGUGGGCGAAAGGACCCAGCGGUGCUGCAGCUGUGGCGCAGGUCGCCACGGUGGCUGGGAUCCAGUCACUCACCCAGGAACUCCAUAUGCCAUAGGGUGGCCCCCAAAAAGAAAAGAAAAAAAUAGCAGAAGUGGUUGUUGUCGUAGUAAGAAAAGUAAAAACGCUAACUAGGAUGAAUCAUGUCCAGACAGUGGAUUCAUAUGCAGUCAGGAAGCAAAGAAGAGCUGAUGUGUUCCACGCUGUGGAGAAACCUUGAAAUGCAAUUCUGCGUCAAAGGGCCAAGCUUCAAAGGUCACCUCCUGUAUGAGUCCAUUUUUUAAAUUAUGAUAGUUGAUUUACAAUAUUCCGUCAAUUUCUGCUGCACAGCAAAGUGACCCAGUCCUAUAUAUGAUAGAUAGAUAGAUACACAUUCUUUUUCUCACAGUAUCUUCUAUCAUGUUCUGUCACAAGCGAUUGACUAUAGCUCCCUGUGGUGUAGAGCGGGACCUCAUUGCUUAUCCAUUUGAAUGUAAUAGUUCACAUCUACGAACCCCAAACUCCCCGUCCCUUCCACUCCCUCCCCCUCCUCCUCCCCCUGGGCAACCACAAGUCUGUUCUCCAUGUCCAUGAGUUUGUUUCAUGAUAGGUUCAUUUGUGCCAUGUGUUAGAUUCCAGAUAUAAGUGAUAUCAUAUGGUAUUUGUCUUUCUCUUUCAGACUUACUUCACUUAGUAUGAGCAUCUGUAGGUCCAUCCAUGUUGCUACAAGUGGCAUUAUUUCAUUUUUUAUGGUUGAGUAAUAUUCCACUGUGUAUAUAUACUGCAUCUUUUUAAUCCAGUCAUCUGUCAAUGGACGUUUAGGUUGUUUCCAUGUCUUGGCUAUUGUAUAUAGUGCUGCAUUGAACAUUGGAGUACAUGUGUCUUUUUGAGUCAUGGUUUUCUCUGGAUAGAUGCCCAGGAGCGGGAUUGUGGGGUCAUAUGGUAGUUCUUUUUUUUUUUUUUUUUUUUUUUUUUUUUUUUUUUUUUUUUU